rnacentral:rRNA from 1 species
UACAGAGGGGGCAAGCGUUAUUCGGAAUUAUUGGGCGUAAAGAGCUUGUAGGCGGUUUGUCGCGUCUGCUGUGAAAUUUCGGGGCUCAACCCCGAACUUGCAGUGGGUACGGGCAGACUAGAGUGAUGUAGGGGAGACUGGAAUUCCUGGUGUAGCGGUGAAAUGCGCAGAUAUCAGGAGGAACACCGAUGGCGAAGGCAGGGUCUCUGGGCAUUAACUGACGCUGAGGAGCGAAAAGCAUGGGGGAGCGAACGGGGA